GACGAACGCUGGCGGCGUGCUUAACACAUGCAAGUCGAACGGAAAGGCCUGCUUUCCCUUGUGGAUUGCGGGUACUCGAGUGGCGAACGGGUGAGUAACACGUGAGUGAUCUGCCCCCAACUUGGGUAUAAGCCUGGGAAACUGGGUCUAAUUCCCGAUAGGACUGCAGGGUGGUGCCUGUGGUGGAAAACGAUUUUCUAGUGGUUGGGGAUGAGCUCGCGGCCUAUCAGCUUGUUGGUGGGGUAAUGGCCUACCAAGGCGGCGACGGGUAGCCGGCCUGAGAGGGUGGACGGCACCAUUGGGACUGAGAUACGGCCCAGACUCCUACGGGAGGCAGCAGUGGGGAAUAUUGCACAAUGGGCGGAAGCCUGAUGCAGCGACGCCGCGUGGGGGAUGACGGCCUUCGGGUUGUAAACUCCUUUCGACCGCGAGGAAGCCACCUGGUUGGAAGGGUGGUGACGGUAGUGGUAGAAGAAGCACCGGCUAACUACGUG
rnacentral:rRNA from 1 species